rnacentral:lncRNA from 1 species
AACAUUAGCUUUCCUCACCACCUACCUCCAUCGUGAAGGGAAGGAAGGCUCUGGGCACCCGCCGGCCUCCCAUCUGGGCCCGCAUUUUCGAACCGCCCCCGAAGUGGCUUUGAAGCAGGGAACCCCGACUUUAAGCGAUCAGGUGUUGAAGCCCGACAGAUGCAGACCGAGGCGAUCCGCGGCGCCCUCUACUGGUCACCAAUAGAAAUGUAUCUCUACAGCCUUGGGGAAGCUUUGCAAGUAAUUGGGUCAUGGAAAGAAAGACUGAUCUGUUGAGGCUGUUUUGUGA